AUAUAUAAAAUAUAGACUUAUCAGAAAGCAAAGUUAAAAGGCAAGUUUGGGUUUGGUAUCGUGAGGGUCACAGUAGUUUCCUUAAAUUUUUCUAAAGUUGUUGGGAAGAGUCAGAAGCUGCCAGCUCGUUAUAUCUCCUCUCCUCUCCUCUCUAUGAGAAGUCAAUAGGGUUGAUUACAGAAUAUGAAUAAAACAAAACCAAAACCCAG
rnacentral:lncRNA from 1 species